GACGAACGCUGGCGGCGUGCUUAACACAUGCAAGUCGAACGGAAAGGCCCCUUUGUGGGUACUCGAGUGGCGAACGGGGAAGUAACACGUACGUAACCUGCCCUUGACUUCGAGAUAAGUACAGCAAACUGGGGCUAAUACCGAUAAGGAAUCCUUUCUGCAACGGGGGGGUUGAAAAGUUCCGGCGGUUUUGGGUGUAUUCGCUGCUUAUCAGCUUGCUGGUGGGGUAAUGGCUUACCAAGGCGUCGAAGGGUGGCCGGACUGAGGGGCCGACCUGCGACAUUGGGACUGAGAGAAGGCACAGACUCCGACGGGAGGCAGAAGGGGGGAAGAUUGCAGGAGGGGCGGAAGGCGGAUGCAGAAACGCCGCGUGCGGGAUGACGGCCUUAGGGUUGAAAACCGAAUUCAGCAGGGGCGAAGCUUGUGUUGACGGUACCUGAAGAAGAAGCACCGGCUAACUACGUG
rnacentral:rRNA from 1 species